UGCCCCGAGAUGAGUUCUCCCUGACUCCUUGAGAGUCCUGAAGGAACGUUGAAGACGACGACGUUGAUAGGCCGGAUGUGUAAGCGCAGCGAUGCGUUGAGCUAACCGGUACUAAUGAACCGUGAGGCUUAACCUUACAACGCCGAAGGUGUUU
rnacentral:rRNA from 1 species